GGUCGUAUGGUCUAAUGGUUAUGACAUCAGACUCUGAUUUAUUUAGAGUCAUAUCUGGUAAUCCCGGUUCGAUCCCGGGUACGACCU
rfam:Aspergillus versicolor CBS 583.65 unplaced genomic scaffold ASPVEscaffold_1, whole genome shotgun sequence.